GGUCGGUUUGUGCAGGAUAGGUGGGAGGCAUUGAAGCGGAGGCGCUAGUUUCCAGGGAGCCAACCUUGAAAUACCACCCUUGCCGAUU
rnacentral:ncRNA from 1 species